GAUGAAGAACGCAGCGAAAUGCGAUAAGUAGUGUGAAUUGCAGAAUUCAGUGAAUCAUCGAGUCUUUGAACGCACAUUGCGCCCCCUGGUAUUCCGGGGGGCAUGCCUGUCCGAGCGUCAUUGCUGCCCUCAAGCACGGCUUGUGUGUUGGGCUCCGUCCCCCCGGGGACGGGUCCGAAAGGCAGCGGCGGCACCGAGUCCGGUCCUCGAGCGUAUGGGGCUUUGUCACCCGCUCUGUAGGCCCGGCCGGCGCCAGCCGACAACCAAUCAUCCUUUUUUCAGGUUGACCUCGGAUCAGGUAGGGAUACCCGCUGAACUUAAGCAUAUCAAUAAGCGGAGA
rnacentral:misc_RNA from 1 species